rnacentral:rRNA from 1 species
GGAUAACACUCCCAUCCUCCUGGAUGGGGGUUAAAAGCUCCGGCGGUGAAGGAUGAGCCCGCGGCCUAUCAGCUUGUUGGUGAGGUAAUGGCUCACCAAGGCGACGACGGGUAGCCGGCCUGAGAGGGCGACCGGCCACACUGGGACUGAGACACGGCCCAGACUCCUACGGGAGGCAGCAGUGGGGAAUAUUGCACAAUGGGCGAAAGCCUGAUGCAGCGACGCCGCGUGAGGGAUGACGGCCUUCGGGUUGUAAACCUCUUUNAGCAGGGAAGAAGCGAAAGUGACGGUACCUGCAGAAGAAGCGCCGGCUAACUACGUGCCAGCAGCCGCGGUAAUACGUAGGGCGCAAGCGUUGUCCGGAAUUAUUGGGCGUAAAGAGCUCGUAGGCGGCUUGUCACGUCGAUUGUGAAAGCUCGGGGCUUAACCCCGAGUCUGCAGUCGAUACGGGCUAGCUAGAGUGUGGUAGGGGAGAUCGGAAUUCCUGGUGUAGCGGUGAAAUGCGCAGAUAUCAGGAGGAACACCGGUGGCGAAGGCGGAUCUCUGGGCCAUUACUGACGCUGAGGAGCGAAAGCGUGGGGAGCGAACAGGAUUAGAUACCCUGGUAG